UUAGAUUUUUUCCCCCUACAUUAAAUUUCCUUUUGAUAAAUGAGGUUUUUUGCUAUUAAAGAAAGUGUCUAUGGGGCUUCUUUCUGGGUCAGACUUGCUCCAUUUCUACAAAGAGGAGACUGAAUAAGAUGACUUAAAAAUUCCCCUCCCACUCAGAUAUUGUCUUCUAUAUUCUUGUAUUCUAUGAUAAUAGUUCUCAUUACUACAAUGCUUCAAAGUUUCAAAAGCAAGACAGGGCGAUAGAGUGGAAAAGAAGCAACAGGCUUACAACUAGUAGAGGCAUGAGUCUGAAUCCCAAUUCUAAGACUCACUGGCUGUGUGAUCCUGGAAAUUACCUUUAUCUUCUGUCUUAGAAACUGUGAAUUGGUUCCACAGCAGAAAAAUGUUAAGGGCUAGGCAAUGGGUUUAAGUGAGUUGCCCAAGAUAAUGUGGCUAGGAAGAGUCUGAGGUCAGAUUCAAACUCAGGACCUCCCAUCUCUAAGCCUAACUUUCAAUCCACUGAGCCACCUACUUGACCCUAACAUUUUCUUUUCUGAGCCUCAGAUUCCUCACCAUGAAGUGAGAAUAGUAUUUGUAUUACAUUUUCCUCUGUAGUUUUGAAAUAUUUCUAUGGCUAUUACUGCUAAUGCUGUUAUAUUCAAAGCUUCUUUCCAAUCUAACAGUUUGGUUGUUGAAUCUUCUUUUAACAAUGAUAUUCUCCUUUGAGCAGAGCCUCUAGCUCUGGCCUUUUUUGUUCUAAAGUUGCCUUCAAUUAUGACAUUAUAUUCUUCACCCUGGAUUUCUAAGCUUCCUUCUAAUUAUAACAUUCUAUGCUCAAAGAUUCUUCUUUGGAUCAAAGGAUCAUUGGAUACUAAAGGGAAAGGACCUUAGAAACCAAUGGGUUCAACUUCCUCACUUUGUAGAUGAAGAAAUUUGGGGUUUAACAAGGUUACUUGGUCAAGGGCACUUCAAUUCCAACCCCAGCAUAAUUUCCAUUUUACUACAGUGCUUCUCAUCAACAAGCAUAGGGUGGAUAUUUCAUUAUUAUAUCUUUUAAAUGCCUAGACAUUGUACAACUGCCUUUAAAGAUACAGUAGAAGUGACUUUAUGUUUUUUUUUAGAUAAAACCAAAAAGUGUCAGAUAUGCAUUUGAAACAUAACUAGAGAAGGAAGUGAAAUGUUUUUGAUUUAGAAGAGCAAGCCUCAGAAGAGAAUAACUCUAAACAGUGUCUUCAUCUGUCUUCAUUUCUUACCUCUGCAAAAAAGUUUUUGAAAACAAAAGCAGAUGCAGUAUCCUGAAGUUUCUGAAAUUCUAAACCUGGAAAGGGUCGAGGGGAUCGUUAUAGGAGAAAGAGAGGGAAGAAGAGAGGGAGAAAAAAAUUUUGGUAAGUUAACCAGUUAUUUUUUAAAUGAAAAAUGCUGUAUAUUACUUAUUUGUAACAUUACAGAUAUAUAAAUUAAAAUAACUGAGAUUUCAUAUCAUAUCCAGCAAAUUAGAAAAGGUAACAAAGCUGAAAAUAGUCAAGGAUAAAAGGCUUGUACAAAUUCAGAUACACUGUUGAUAGAUGAUGAACAUUCCAUAACAUUCUGUAAAGGAAUUUGGAAUUAUGCAAGAAAAAUGAAUAAAUAUUCAUAUCCUUUUACCUAAACAUCUCUUCUCUGAGCAUAUUCCCCCAAAGAGGUCAAAGAUGAAAAAAAGAUCCCAUAGAUGGGUCUUUUGUUCAUAACAACAUUUUUGUGGUAGCAAAAAAAAAACAAAAAAACAAAGAAAACCAACCCAACAACUGGAAUCAAAGUGCAUUCUCAUAACCUGGGGAAUGGCUGCAAAAACUGUGGUUAUAUGAUUGUAAUGGAAUUUUUUAUGUAAUAGGAAAUGGCAAAAAUUAGGAAUUCAGGGAAGACUUGUAAGAACUAAGACAAAGUGAAAGAAGCAGACGCCGGAGAGCAAAUUACAUAAUUUCUUUAAUAAUAUAAAGAGAUAAAAACCCUAAAAUUAAGCCAUACUGUUAGCUGCUAUAAAGAUGACAGAAUUACAGAAUUAAAAUAAAUUUCAUCAGUCUAAAGACCAAAGCACACCUGGAAAAGAGUUCUAGUAUAAUAUUGUUAAGAAAUGGUCAUCUGGCUUUUGU